rnacentral:rRNA from 1 species
UAUCUCUGUAGAGUCUGCAUAUCAAUAAGCGGAGGAAAAGAAGCUAACAAGGAUUCCCCUAGUAACGGCGAGUGAAGCGGGAAGAGCUCAAAUUUGAAAUCUUCAAGGUUUGACCUUGACGAAUUGUAGUUUAAAGAAGUGUUUUCGGUUAGAGGAGUAGUAAAAGUUCUUUGGAAUAGGACAUCAUAGAGGGUGAGAAUCCCGUAUUUGACUAUUCUUUCUAGCUUUGUGAUACACUUUCAAAGAGUCGGAUUGUUUGGGAAUGCAGUCCAAAAUGGGUGGUAAAUUUCAUCUAAAGCUAAAUAUUGGCGAGAGACCGAUAGCGAACAAGUACCGUGAGGGAAAGAUGAAAAGAACUUUGAAAAGAGAGUUAAACAGUACGUGAAAUUGUCAAAAGGGAAGCGUUUGACACCAGUGUUGUUUUUCCGAAAAAUCAAUUACGAAUGGCUUGAUUUUGUGUUGUAUUGACCUUAUCAGCUUUCUUCACUUUUUUCGAGUCUUUCUUAAUGCACUUUUCGGUUAACAAGUCAACAUCAAUUUCUUUUGUUGUAAAAGAGUAUUCGGAAGGUGGCUUUCUUUUCGGAGAAAGUGUUUAUAGCCCUAUACUUCUACAAUCGGAGAGAUUGAGGUCUGCAGCGUAGAUCCUUCGGGGUUAGAUACACUUGUGCUAAGUUGUAGCUUUUCAUAGACAACUUGUUGACUAUGUUUAGUCAUGCGGCUUACUCGCUUGUGCUAUUUUACCUACGCUUAGGAUGUUGAAGACUCUACAGAGAUA